rnacentral:tRNA from 1 species
GCGGCCUUAGCUCAGCUGGUAGAGCCCUGGUUUGUGGUACCAGUGGUCGCGGGUUCGAGCCCCGCAGGUCGCC